GACGAACGCUGGCGGCAGGCCUAACACAUGCAAGUCGAGCGGAGCGGCGGACGGGGGAGUAAUGCCUAGGAAUCUGCCUGGUAGUGGCGGAUAACGUCCGGAAACGGGCGCUAAUAUCGCAUACUAUCAGAUGAGCCUAGGUCGAAUUAGCUAGUUGGUGGGGUAAAGGCCUACCAAGGCGACGAUCCGUAACUGGCCUGAGAGGAUGAUCAGUCACACUGGAACUGAGACACGGCCCAGACUCCUACGGGAGGCAGCAGUGGGGAAUUUUGGACAAUGGGGGAAAGCCUGAUCCAGCCAUCCCGCGUGUAUGAUGAAGGCCUUCGGGUUGUAAAGUACUUUUGGCAGAGAAGCGGUAUCUGCAGAAUAAGCACCGGCUAACUACGUGCCAGCCGCCGCGGUAAUAC
rnacentral:rRNA from 1 species